rnacentral:lncRNA from 1 species
UAUAAAGAAAUAGGCACCUAGCACAGAAGUCCUGAUAAGGCCGUCGAGGCCACCCUGAUCUCAAUACCGAAACUGGAAGCAAUUAUAUAUCAAGACAAUACAUCAAACAACUCACAAGCUUCAACAAACCAACAAACUAGGCCAGCAUGGCCAUAACAUAGCUAUACACCUCACACGCUAGUCUGCAAGCCUCUAAGAGUAGUAAAGAUUGGCUGGACAGGGCCUCAGCCUACCCAUAAAAACAUAUACAACAAAAGCUAACAAACCUCCAAACUCUGGCAGCUCCGGAGGAAAGGGGCUAGCUAACCAGAUAGAAGUCAGUCCUGCUGCUGAGGAGGUCUACUGGGUCGUCUGUCGGGACCUGCAUACAUGAAUGCAGCGCCCUAGGCAAUGGGGCGUCAGUACAAAAUAAUGUAUAGAGUAUGAAAGGCUAUAGACUAAAUGAGCAAGUAUUAUAAUAUACCAAAAUCAAUCAGGUGAGGAAAUCAAAAUUUAAAUAAGAAUGCUAACCCAAUACUGAAUUUUAAAAAUUACAAAAAUGAUCAAACAACAACCUAACCAAGCCCCCAUAAGGUCGGUAGGUACAAACAACAUACCACCUACAUAGGCCCCCGUAAGCCCAGAAGGUGCCAAAUCAAUCUACAUAACCAUAUCGGUAACCCCUUGUCUUUGUAAGAAGUUACAUAUCCCUUUUUGGCAACGAUAUUACCCCGUAGGCAGCGCAUAGCCCUCUUAGGCAACAUCAUAGCUUUGUGGGUUGCACGUAGCCCUCUUUUGCAUCAACAUAGCCCUGUAGGCAACACAUUGCCCUCUUUGGCGUCAAAAUAGCCUCGUAGGCAACACAUAACACUCUUUGGCUGAUAUCAGUACAACCCCGGGGGCAACACAUAGACCUCUUAGGAUAUAACAUGGUCCUAUUAGACAACAUCAUAGCCCCCAUAGGCAGUUCAGAUCUCAACAGCUAACCACAAGCCCUAACGGAGACAACAAACAAUUGAAUCAGCUAAAGACGAGCAAGUUAGCUAUAAACAUAUUAUGAGUCCCUAUAAUGAGAGUUUAUAACCACUCAAUCAGCCAACCACUCACAAUUACAUCUACAAGAUCACCAACAUUAACUACCCUACUAUAUCACUCCCAAGCUCUAAGGAAACAUGUCGAACGAAGGGAAUAGUCUUAACAUACCUUUUCCUUUAUAAUUUAUGCUGAAAAUAUCUCUAUCCACACCACUAAAACACUAAAGAAAAAGGUAAAAUCAAUCAGUAAUUAAGGAUAAAAUUACUACGACAAUUCGACAAUCGAUACGGAUUUCUAUCGUAAAUUACUAUCCAAGACCUAAGGUCUCCGUAAACUGCUAAAAAGAUGGUUCCUACCUAUCUUUGAACUCCCAGAACACUUGAAUAAAUCAAAACAUUGAAAAAAAGCCUGCUGCCACAACUUUCACGUAGCUACACCGCUCAAUUUACCGUGAAAAUUAUACCAAAACGACGAGCUCGCGACGUAGGGCAAUUUUUUAUAAGGAGCCAAGAAGAGAUCAUGAACACACAAGGAUGAUUUGAGGAGUAAUUCUUUGAUUUUCGUGGGUAUCUUACGAGUUGGAAUGAAGAAAAAUGAAGAAGAUGCUAUCUUAUAAGCUUCCACCGACCUAGGGGACCCACCUCACGUGCCUGCUUGCGCAAUCUCUCUAUUCUGAAGUCGUAUGAACAAACGGUUUGUUGCGUUGGAAACUAGAAUCGUAAACCUUCGAUUCGAUAGGUUGUGGGACCCAUAAAUUUUUAUAAAUUGGGAGACAACCUCCGAGACAUUUGACCAAAAUUUCAGAGAAAUCUUUAAAAAGGAACUUACGAUAACUUUCGCCAACUUUUAUUUUGCGACUUACCUAACUUCAAAACAUGAGAUACAACCCGUGAACACUUAAAAUAUGACAUACCACAUCAUUCUUAAUUUAUUACUCACCCUCUUUGUCUUUCCACGAAGGUACGAGUUAAUUUAGACGUUUCGAAAAGUCGGGAUGUUACAACAGACUCCAUACAAGUUUAUGUAUUUACUUGUGCACACUCAAAAUUAAAGGCAUAUAUACUAACAGAAACCAAAAUAAAGGGCAUGUUUAUAUAUUAUACCUAAUUUUUAACUAACUUUAUUAAGGAGUGUAAUAACACACCUUAAAAAAUUAUUUACUUUGUAUCGAUAGGGGUAGUAAAGACAGGGAACUUUCUCAAGUCAAUUGUGUAAAAUAUACAAUUGGAUUUAUGUAUAGGUUGACUCCCGUGUUGCUUCAUUUCUCUACAAGUGUCUCAAAUAAUACAAAUUUCAUUAGUUUAGGAUCUAAUUAUAUGUUUUCACUUUUAGUUUUUGAAAUUAUCUUUUGUGCCACAUUUACUUCACCGAAUAGAUGUAUUUGGUGCACUCAAAUACAUGUAUGUCAGAUACAUGUUGAUUAAAUUAGAUGUAAUCUGUUCCAAAUACAUUAUAUUCAUAGAAAUAUUUGUAUAAUUAUGUAGUUUUUCCCAGAUUUUAAAAUCAAAAUAUGGUACCAAAUUGGGUCGGACACCAUAUUAGACUUCAUGUCUAUACGCUUAAACCAGUUCUGCACAGAGUGGGUCAUGUCCACACAAUCAAAUGGCACAAAACGAUUGGACUCCUAUGGUAAGCCUUUUGGAGUUAAGAGAGAAAAAAGACACUUAAGUGGGAGUUUGAAUUGAUUUAGUUUAAGAGGUUUUUGUUUUUUAUGUUUUUUUUUUAAUUUUGAAAGUAUUUGAGUAACACAAAAAGUAUUUUUAAUCACUUUCUUUUAGGCUGAAAAAAAAGAGUCAAAAGUUAGAUGUUCCUAACGUAUGACUUUUAGGAGUCGUUCAGAACAAAAUGCAAAAUCAUUUUAUCAUAUGUUUAGAUUAUUCAUCACAUCAUUUAUAUCAUAGUAAUGGGAUAAGUUAUUUCAUAUACAUGGUGGAAUAACUUAUAUCAACUUUUAACUUAUAAGUCACUAAAAAAAAGUCAAUCCAAACACCCCUUAAACCUCGUGGUGAACUUUCAGUUAUGUUAGCGUUACCAAUGUAUACAUCCACCAAAAAUUGUUUUCAACAAAAUGGUCAUAUGAUGUAUCGAUAUUAUAUAAAUAGUGUAUAAUCAUGUAUAUUUAUGUAUCAGUGAUUUAUAUAUACAUCUAUAUAUAAUUUUUAUACAGUAAAGUAUACGCUGCUGUUCAAUUAUUUUUCAAUCCCAACCAACUCAAAUCUUCUUUAAACAGUCCCAAAAUUUAGAUAUGAGUUCCUCUCCAAUUUUUCGAGUAUUUUCAUAUCUUAUUCACUUGAAACGACUCACAUUUCUUGCACAUCAAUUUUAAAGUCGAGCAACAAGCUUUAAACAUGGAAGAAGAAAACAAAGAAGGAAGGGAGAAGAAAAUCAACGAAGAAAUAAGGAAGAAGGAGGAAAGUAAUCAUUAAUGGCCGGAAGAAGAUCAUAGAAAAAAUAAAGAAAGAAAAGAAGGAGAGGAGGACGAAGCAGAAAACAGGGAGGAAAAUAAAACAAUAUGACUAUGACCCCGUUUGAAUUGGCUUAAAAAUAUAGCUUUUAAGUCAGAAAUAAAAGAAAAAUUUUCGCACAUAGCCACUCAAAAAUAACUUAAUUAUGAUCCAUAGCUAUAGUUUUCUAAUUUCGAUUCGUAGCUAAAUGUUAAAGGGAGAAGAGAGGUGAGCGAGAUUGGGAGAGGGAGGAGGGAGGAGAGAGGCGAGCGAGAGAGGACAGAUAGUGGAGAGAGGCAAAUUGUAUAUGUAUAUCUAUCGAAUUGUAUAUGUAUAUCUAUCAAAUAAUUGUUUACAUGCAACUGAUAUACAUAUGUAUUUGUAUAUCUGACGAGUGAGAUUUAGAGAGAGAGGAGAGAGAAAAGAGAAAGGUGAGCGAGAGAGGGCAGAGAGUGGAGAGAGGCGAAUUGUAUAUGUACAUCUAUCAAUAAUUGUAUAUAUGUAACUAAUAUACAUAUGUAUAUGUAUAUCUAGCGAGUGAUAUUGGGAGAUGGAGGAGAGAGGCGAGCGAGAUUGGGAGAGGGAGGAGAGAGGCGAGCGAGAGAGGCAGAGAGUGGCCAGAGGAUAAUUGUAUAUGUAUAUCUCUCGUAUAAUUGUGUAUAUAUAUAUAUAUAUAUAUAUAUAAUCUGUAUUUGUAUAUGUGACAUAAUUACAACUAAAAUUAAGUUGUCAGCCGUAAUUAAUUCAAACUAUAGCUAUGUUAGUUAAUUAACUAGUAUAUGUUUGCUUAUCCGCGUAAUUUUCCCAAAAUAAAAAGUCACACUGAAAUGACUUUUAAGUCAAAAAAUAUAAGUAGGGGACCUACUUUAUUUUUGACAUUACCAAACACUUCCUAACUUAUUUGAAGUCAUUUUUGACUUAUUUUAAGUUACUUUUUAUAUUUACCAAACACUUCAUUAAGUCAAAUAUUGACUUAAAAGUAGGUUUGACCAAAUUUUAAGCUAAUCCAAAUACCCUGUAAUAAUAAGGAAAAAUUACGCGGUUAAGCAAACUUAUACUACUUAAUUACUCAUCAUAGCUAUAGUUUGUUAUAAUUACUACUUGCGACUAACAUUAACAAUUAAUUAUGUGGGCUGACUUCGAGUUUGUAUAAUUAGUCACAUUUGUAUAAUUAGCUACAUUUGUAUGAUUUGCAACUAACAAUUCUUCGUUUGAUUUGUAUUUGUAUACCAUGGUUUGUAUUUGUAUAUGACGAUGAUUUCCUUUGGUUUUCCAGGUUUGUCACCAUAUACAUUCAAUCUUUUUGUGUAUAACUUUUUAAAGUUUGUAUAAACGUGUAGUUUUGGAUUUUGGAUAAUAUGAUUUAUAUAAUGUAAUUUGUAUAAUAUAAUUUGUAUAACUAUUUAAAGUUCAUAUGUUUAUGUUUGUAUCGAUUCGUUAUUUAGAGUUUUAUCAAUUCUAGACUUUAUAUUACUCAAUUAUACAAAAACACGCAAAUUAUACAAACAUACCCGCGAAUUAUACAAACGAGAUGCAAAUUAUUGCCCUCUUUCGCUCACCUCUCUCCUUCUCCCAAUCUCGCUCGCCUCUCUCCUCCCUCUGCCUAUCUCGCUCUCCUCUCUCCUCCAUCUCCCAAUCUUGCUCGCCAGAUAUACAAAUGCAUAUGCAUAAUAUACAAUUAUCUAACCAAUAUACCUAUAUAAUUCACCUCUCUCCUACCUCUCCCAAUCUCGCUCGCUACUCUCCUCCCUAUAACAUGUAUUUACGAAUCGUAAUUAGCAAAUUAUAGCUAUAAAGCGUAAUUAAACUAUUUUUGAAUGGAUAUAUGCGAAAGUUUCUCAAAUAAUAAUUGGGCCAUAUGUUGUUAUAACAAUGACCGAAUGGUCAUUUUGUUUAAUUCUGUAUAGAUACAUCUUUUAUAUAUUGUGAACACAUAAUUUUUGACGUGUUUAUUUUAAUCCUACAAUAUAUAGUAAGGUCUUUUCUUAUAUUUUUGUUGUGUAUUUUGGGUAGUUCAUCUUUGUUUAUAUUUUUUUUUAAUUGGCCCAAGUGACCCAAUUUUUUAUUAAAUUGAGUUGAUUUAGACCAAAUUCUGAUGGCCCAAUCAAUUUUGUCCCGGUCCAAUAGAAAUGGUCAAGAUUAAAUCUCAAUCAUUCAUGAUAUUUUGAUCCAAGGUCUCUUAUGGACCUACAAAAAAAAAAAAAAUACCAAACUCCAAAAAAACAAAUUUUGUAUUUGCAUUUUUUAUUUUCUUCUCCCCUUUGCUUUCACCUGCCAACGGUCGGCCACCGCCAUUGCCGCCGCCGGCCACCACCCCUUGGCCGAAAAAAUCUCCAAAAUUUUACCAUUUCUUCCUUUCACCCUCCUCUACACAAAUCCGCAAACCAUUCGUUCAUAUACAUAGCCAAACUCCACAGAUCUAAGAAAAACCAAACAUAAAUUUUCACCUUUUUCUUUAGAUUUACAAAGUUUCAGUCAUCCCCGUCCUAUAUCCUUUACAUAAAAUUGUAGAGCUCUUCAAGGGCUAUCCUUUGAUGUAAAGUUUAUGUCCAAAACCCGUCAACAAAUUUUCCGGCGGAGUUUUCCGGCGACCUCCAUUCAUCCAAAAAUUUAUGUCAAAUCAUUUUCCCCUCUCAUCCUCUAUCCAAAUUCGUCAUUAUCACUUUUUUUUUUAAAACCAUAUAAGUCGUUAUGGUGCCGAAUUUAUAUUGUUUUGUUAGUAUUCUUCAAGUUCUAUCAUGUUGAAGUUGUUGCUUGAGUUUAUUAUUUCUUAAUUUCAUUUUUUUAUUUUAUUUUAUUAUUUUCUGCCUUACUUGUGGUGUUUUGAUCUUCAAAAUAGUUUAGAUGUUUAGAUUUUGUGUUAGAACAAGUUCUAUCAUGUUGAAGUUGUUGCUUGAGUUUAUUAUUUCUUAAUUUCAUUUUUUUAUUUUAUUUUAUUAUUUUCUGCCUUACUUGUGGUGUUUUGAUCUUCAAAAUAGUUUAGAUGUUUAGAUUUUGUGUUAGAAGGCUGAUUUUCUUUUGAUUUUUGGGUCUUGAUCAAAUGAGUUUACAUUUUGGGCCUAUUUUAAAUUUUCAGAUGGCCCAUUUAGCUAUUAUUCAAUUAAUGAAUAAAAAAAAUGGGUCAUCUAAAAUGGCAUUUUGAGCCUAUUCUAAAUUUUUAGAUGACCCAUUUAGCUAUUAUUCAAUUAAUGAAUAAAAGAAAUGGGUCAUCUAAAAGGGCAAUGCAAUCUUUUAAUUAAUUUUAUCUUGGAAAAAGAACAAAGAAAAAAGAAAAGAGGAAAUUUCAUUGGUCAUCUUGGGUGGUGGCACCUUGGGAAAACAAAGAGUCUAAUGCAUGCAUUGACUCUUAAGUUUUCAAGAAGAGUGGGGGUUUAAUGCUCCACACCUAGUUAAACCCAUUAUUCUUUCAUUUCAAGAGAGAAAAAAAAAAGAACAAGAACAGCAGAUUGGACUAUCAAACAAUUUAAGUGCUGAAAUUGUAGCUAUGAGACUAGGGUUGGAAUAUUGCAGGAAUAACAAUUUAUUCCCACUGAUUAUAGAAACUGAUUCUUUAGCUGCAAUGAAAAUGGUUGAAGGGGUUUGGCACAGACCUUGGGAGGUGACUAUGGAGGUCAGAAGGAUACAUAUUCUGAAAGAUGGAUUGGAGGUGGCCAUUGUGUUCUCUUUUGCAGGUACAGAUUCUAUAUGUUAUAAUGAUUUCCAAGAUCUACCUAGUGAAGCAAAGACAAUUCUAAAUAUGGAUAAAAGUCAAAUUCCUAAUCUAAGGAUAAGAAAGUUUCAGAAUGGAGAUUUUGCACAAGAUUGAUGUUUCAGAUAAGAACAUACGAAGGAGCAUGUAUUUCAGGCUUAAAAAUACAACAGUCAUACAAUACUCUGAAGGUUGCGAGGGUAGUGAGUUAUAAUUACAAAGGCAAUGCGCGAAUUUCAGAACAAGGAAAAAACAUAAACAGUUGCAGUACAACAUCCAUACAACAUUCUGAAGAUUACGCAUAUUGGGAUCAUAUUUCGCUGGAUAACGGUAUAAAGCCAUGAGCAAAUUUCAGAACAAUGACAAUACAUAAACAGGCUGCAGUAACAUUCAUACGCUACUCUGAAGUUUGCGAAAUCAGUGAGUUUUAUUCACAUAUGGCGAAAACAUUUGUUAAAUGGCACUGAGCAAGUUACAGGUUAAGGAAAAUACCUAUGAAGGAUGCAGUAACCUCGUAGCGAAGCUCAAGACAGUGGUAUUAGCUCCUUGUUGGGCUCAACCUGUCAAAGCUAAGGGAUGAAGGUUGCGAGGUCAAUAUUAGGUAUAUGAUAAACAAAUUUGCAUAGGGAGUGAGACUAUCACCUGAUUUGAAGUCUCGAUUGAAGUACCUUGAGCUGGAGAAGUCUCCGAUUGGGAUGAUUUCAUGAUGUUGGUGAGACUAGACAACGUUCGAGAUGAAAUACACCCCAAACUCGUUGUACUGAUGUUGUGGUUUCAAGUCACUGGAGGAUGCUUGCUGGAAUGAGCUCGUCAAAGAUGGAGGAGGUUGUGCCGACCUUGCCGGUAUAAGCUCGUCGACGAUGGAGGAGCUGCGCUGAUUCUAUUUCCUUUUCCCCUUUCCCUUUUCCUUUUUGUUUUGUUUUGUUUAUAUUUUUGUUUCCUAAAAUGACUGGUUAUGUGUUGG